CCUACGGGAGGCAGCAGUCGAGAAUCAUUCACAAUGGGGGAAACUCUGAUGGAGCGACGCCGCGUGGGGGAAUGAAGGUCUUCGGAUUGUAAACCCCUGUCAUGUGGGAGCAAAUUAAAAAGAUAGUACCACAAGAGGAAGAGACGGCUAACUCUGUGCCAGCAGCCGCGGUAAUACAGAGGUCUCAAGCGUUGUUCGGAAUCACUGGGCGUAAAGCGUGCGUAGGCUGUUUCGUAAGGCGGGUGUGAAAGGCGCGGGCUCAACCCGCGGAUGGCACAUGAUACUGCGAGACUAGAGUAAUGGAGAGGGAACCGGAAUUCUCGGUGUAGCAGUGAAAUGCGUAGAUAUCGCGAGGAACACUCGUGGCGAAGGCGGGUUCCUGGACAUUAACUGACGCUGAGGCACGAAGGCCAGGGGAGCGAAAGGGAUUAGAUACCCUUGUAGUC
rnacentral:rRNA from 1 species